rnacentral:rRNA from 1 species
GACCAGACUCCUACGGGAGGCAGCAGUGGGGAAUAUUGGGCAAUGGGCGCAAGCCUGACCCAGCAACGCCGCGUGAAGGAAGAAGGCUUUCGGGUUGUAAACUUCUUUUCUGAGGGACGAAGAAAGUGACGGUACCUCAGGAAUAAGCCACGGCUAACUACGUGCCAGCAGCCGCGGUAAUACGUAGGUGGCAAGCGUUAUCCGGAUUUAUUGGGUGUAAAGGGCGUGUAGGCGGGAAAGCAAGUCAGAUGUGAAAACUCAGGGCUCAACCCUGAGCCUGCAUUUGAAACUGUUUCCCUUGAGUGUCGGAGAGGUAAUCGGAAUUCCUUGUGUAGCGGUGAAAUGCGUAGAUAUAAGGAAGAACACCAGUGGCGAAGGCGGAUUACUGGACGAUAACUGACGCUGAGACACGAAAGCGUGGGGAGCAAACAGGAUUAGAUACCCCCGUAAG